UACGGAGGGGGCUAGCGUUGUUCGGAAUUACUGGGCGUAAAGCGCACGUAGGUGGGUGCUUAAGUCGAAUGUGAAACCCCUGAGCUUAACUUGGGGACUGCAUGCGAUACUGAACAUCUAGAGUAUGGUAGAGGGAAGUGGAAUUUCCGGAGUAGCGGUGAAAUGCGUAGAUAUCGGAAGGAACACCAGUGGCGAAGGCGGCUUCCUGGGCUAAUACUGACACUGAGGUGCGAAAGCGUGGGGAGCAAACAGG
rnacentral:rRNA from 1 species